rnacentral:rRNA from 1 species
GACGAACGCUGGCGGCGUGCCUAAUACAUGCAAGUCGAGCGAGACUCUUCGGAGUCUAGCGGCGGACGGGUGAGUAACACGUGGGCAACCUGCCUGUAAGACUGGGAUAACACCGGGAAACCGGUGCUAAUACCGGAUAAUCCUUUUCCUCUCAUGAGGAAAAGCUGAAAGUCGGUUUCGGCUGACACUUACAGAUGGGCCCGCGGCGCAUUAGCUAGUUGGUGAGGUAACGGCUCACCAAGGCGACGAUGCGUAGCCGACCUGAGAGGGUGAUCGGCCACACUGGGACUGAGACACGGCCCAGACUCCUACGGGAGGCAGCAGUAGGGAAUCUUCCACAAUGGACGAAAGUCUGAUGGAGCAACGCCGCGUGAGCGAUGAAGGCCUUCGGGUCGUAAAGCUCUGUUGUUAGGGAAGAACAAGUACCGGAGUAACUGCCGGUACCUUGACGGUACCUAACCAGAAAGCCACGGCUAACCACGUGCCAGCCGCCGCCGUAAGAC